rnacentral:rRNA from 1 species
UACGUAGGUGGCAAGCGUUAUCCGGAUUUAUUGGGCGUAAAGGGAACGCAGGCGGUCUUUUAAGUCUGAUGUGAAAGCCUUCGGCUUAACCGGAGUAGUGCAUUGGAAACUGGGAGACUUGAGUGCAGAAGAGGAGAGUGGAAUUCCAUGUGUAGCGGUGAAAUGCGUAGAUAUAUGGAAGAACACCAGUGGCGAAGGCGGCUCUCUGGUCUGCAACUGACGCUGAGGCUCGAAAGCAUGGGUAGCGAACAGG